CUCUUGCAGAUCUGAUGAAGCACCUUGAGUGCUCUCCGAGUACUGAAGCAGCCUUGCACCCCAGGGAUAAAGCCUACCGGGUCAUGAUCUGCUAAGUCAUGUGGCGUGCUUUCCAAGUGUUGAACCAGCCUUGCAUCCCUGGUAUAAAUUCCACCUGGUCAUGAUCUGAUGAAGCACCUUGAGUGCUUUCUGAGUGCUGAAGAAGCCUUGCACCCCGGGGAUAAAGCCCACCGGGUCAUCAUCUGAAGAAGCACAUGGAGUGCUCUCCGAGUGCUGAAGCAGCCUUGCACCCCGGGGAUAAACCCCACUGGGUCAUGGUGAGUAACUUCUUAAUAA